AACCAGACAAGAAAUGUAUUCAAGAUGACCAAAUCUGCACAAAACCUAGCAGAGGGAUGAGAACCAGGGAGGCGUUCCUCAACCCCAGCCACAACCCAGGCACACGGGAAUUCAGCUUCCCCAGCCAGGAUUGCUACUCAGAGGUCUGAUGGUCAACACAGCCAUGUCAUUGUCCGAUUGCAAGAGCACCGACCGAUGACUCAGGAGCUGCUGCUCAGUUCAGCUCUGCGUUCCCUAAAAUUCACAACACGUGUAAGGAUGCUGUUCAACCAAACCCCAAAGGAUUCGCCCGGUAUUCAGCUCUGCAGUUUGCUACUCUAGGGAGAGGACUUCUGGUGCUCCUAGUGCUGUCCCUGCUGAUUGCAAUGAUGGUCUUCAGAAGAAUAAAACAGGAAGAAAAGCCCAGCUGCAACUUCAAGGAAUGGCUCAAUGCACUAUUCAUGGCUUGAAAGAACAGCAUUGCCAUCCACAGUGGCAGUUUGUGUCUAUGAACCUUCUUAGAUGGCUCUCAUGCUCAGAUUUCUGUGCUGCAGCUCAUUAGUAGGAGAGCUGCCUGUGGGGAUGCGGCAGGUUUGUAGUACAGGAGGAUGUGCACUAAAAUAAAAAACAUCAGUUAGGAGUGGUGU